CAGCAGCCACGGUAAUACGAAGGGGGCUAGCGUUGCUCGGAAUGACUGGGCGUAAAGGGCGCGUAGGCGGCGAUCAAAGUCAGGCGUGAAAUUCCUGGGCUCAACCUGGGGGCUGCGUUUGAUACUUGAUUGCUAGAGUGGGGAAGAGGGUCGUGGAAUUCCCAGUGUAGAGGUGAAAUUCGUAGAUAUUGGGAAGAACACCGGUGGCGAAGGCGGCGACCUGGUCCUUGACUGACGCUGAGGCGCGAAAGCGUGGGGAGCAAACAGGAUUAGAUACCCCCGUAGUCCCUGUCUCUUAUAU
rnacentral:rRNA from 1 species